rnacentral:rRNA from 1 species
AACGCGAAGAACCUUACCUGGCCUUGACAUGUCUUGGGAUCCCUCAGAGAUACGGGAGUGCCUUCGGGAAUCCUGAACACAGGUGCUGCAUGGCUGUCGUCAGCUCGUGUCGUGAGAUGUGGGGUGAAGUCCCGCAACGAGAGCACCCCUUGUCCUUAUUUGCCAGCGAGUAAUGGAGGGAACUCUUAGGAGACUGCCGGUGACAAACCGGAGGAAGGUGGGGAUGACGUCUAGUCAUCAUGGCCCUUACGGCCAGGGCUACACACGUACUACAAUGGUCGGUACAGAGGGUUGCAAUACCGCGAGGUGGAGCCAAUCCCAGAAAGCCGAUCUCAGUCCGGAUGGGAGUCUGCAGCUCGACUCCGUGAAGUCGGAAUCGCUAGUAAUCGCGAAUCAACAUUGUCGCGGUAAAUACUUUCCCGGGUCUUGUACACACCG